AUAGUCGAUCGGUCUGCCGCUUUUUCUUAAAAAGAGGAAAGUCCGGACAACAUAGAGCGCCCUACUAUCUAACGGAUAGCUGUUCGCGAGGGCAGAGUUAAGUAGAAGAAAAUAACCGCCGGGCUUUUUUGUCAGGUAAGGGUGAGAAGGUAAGGUAAGAGCUUACCGGUUCCGGUAGCAAUAUUGGAAGCCGUACAACUUAGGGGUUGCAAGAUCAUGUACACCGGCGCAUGUAGGAUGGCUCGUCCGAUGCCGGGGGGUAGAUUGCUGGAGUCGGAUGGCGACAUUCGAUCGAGAUAAAUGGCAGACAUUCCGUUUCGGAAUACAGAAUCCGGCUUACAGAUCGACUAUUUUU
rnacentral:RNase_P_RNA from 1 species